ACCAACCAGAAAUUAUAUAUAUGAUGGGUUCUUCUUUCGGUGAUACUCUCAUCAUCUUUUCUUCUGCGGUCUGUCUCCAUCACGUUUUCAGGCAUUUUUCUUCUUCAUCUAUAGUCUCUGUCUCUGUAUAGACUUCAUGCCAAUGGUGGUCCGGUUGGUACAGUGAAUAAUGGUACAAUGAACAUGGUAAGCGAUACGGCGAACGAAGCAGCAGGCGACAUGGGGGGAAAGGAAGUGAGAUGCCUAUAAGUGCAUGAAGAAAGAACCUACCAGAAGAUAGAAAAUUAAUCAUAUCGGAAGAAGCUCCAGAAGCAGAUGAGGAAGAAGAGAUUCGACGCACGGACGAAGAUGGAACCGUCGUACGUAGAAAACAGCUGAGAGGCGUAAAAGUGAGCUGUUGUUUCAGCAUAUCGAUCGCGCAGCAGCAGCAAAAAGGAGCGCGCUCUAUAACGCUUGAGAUGGAUUGGAUUGGAUUGGACUGAACUGAAUGUAUGAUGAUGAGGGACUUAUGACGUAGACUAGCUAUACAAGAUACCCACGUCUUGGGAAUCUCAACACCUUCAUGCUUCUAUACUAUGAUGUAUCGCAUCUACACACGCGCCUGUAUGGAUCCUUAGACCCUACGUUUUUACUGGAACAUUCCGUCCCUUCGCUUCUCCACGACAACCUCCUCCCAAAAUCUCUUCAGCAACCUCCGCACAAGAUUCUGGUUCCUUCCUACAAGUAUGUUUAACAAACUCAAGACAAUGAUCGCAAUCAUCCGCAUACUCCUACGGGGAAACGACGAUAAAUACAUGGUAUCUAGACCGCCAUCGAUCCUCCUGCCCUGGCAAUAUCAUCUAAAACCCUCUCUUCCUCUUUGCCCUGCUGCAUCAGCCUCAUCCGUAAGCUGUUCAUAUCAUAUUGCUGUUGGAGCUUCCCUAGAAGCCUUUACUCGCUCUUUAGCUACAUUCUUAUCGGCUUCCCGGUCUCGAUCUGAAUCAUUCCAGCUUCCAGAAGUUCGGCAGGAGUUCUAACCCUUUCCCAAUUAGCCAUAAGUAUGCUUUCUUCUGUGAAGUUGAUCGGAAGGGCUGCUUCCCGACCGAACAUGAGAUAGGGUGGGGUGUACUCCGUAGAUACUCUAACAGUGGUUCGAUCAGCCCAGAGCGCAUAAUGCAGAUAGUACGGCCACCGACU
rnacentral:sRNA from 1 species